AAGCAUUUUUCUUCCCUUCUCCUGAUAUUUUUCCACUUCAGUCAGUGCACCGGAGAACAUCUCACUCCCACAGCCCUGCCACUUCCAGCCCCCCAGCAGCAGCACUGGGGGAUUUCUAACACCAAAUGGCUGGAGCAGAAACCUGUCCUGAGGCAGUGGGGCUGGGGCUGCCCUCCAUGGGCCACACAGACCCCACAUUUGGCCCCCGAAUUUCCCUGCCAGAAUCCGGGGCAGCCUGGGCAGCAUGCUCCGGCCGGUGGCUGCUCCGAGAGGAGACAAGCCUCUGCUGCUGGAUGCAUAAUCUCCAAUUUAUACAAAGCUUUGAAAGGCAUCCAACGGUCUAAUUGGGAGGCCCUUAAAUUAAAGUGGGGAUGGGAUUUGGAAUCCACUUUAGAGCCUGCGGUUUGGAGGGAAGCAUGGGGAUCCAUUUCAUCUGUGUUGAUAUCAAGGGAGCCCAAUAUAAAUGUUUUCUGGCACUUUUAUUCCUCCAGCCCUGGGGUUUACAUGAGGGUUGGCUUUUUGUUCAGGUUUUUUUCUUUCUCUGUUGUUUUUUUGCACUCUGAAGCCUCUUCCAAGCAUAAUUUUGGAAGAGGGGUGUUACCACAGUGUCUGGGGCACCACCACUUCUUGCAGGUCUGGCUGCUGGACCAUGGCACUGUACCAUGCCUGUCCCCUCACUGGUGGCAGCUGCCCUGCCCAGGUGGGACAUCGGCAAAGGGGUUCUGGAUGUGCUGCCAGGGAGCGGUGGGCAAGGGGAGCUGUGCCUGUUGCAGGAGCCUCGGGGCUGCUCUCAGGGAUGGCUCUCUUUCCCCAAGCCCCGGCCCUGCAUUUCCACAGCUCCCCUCUGGCCUGGGGCUUGGGAGACAGCUCUGGAAUGGCUUUAUUGCCCACCCUCAGGAAAGCUCUGCUGCCCUAAGCCACCAUGUCAGAGCUGAGGCAGAUGCUGGGGGCAGGAUGAGGGGGUGGGCAGGAGAUGAUCUCCAUUUGCACAUCUGCUUUUAA
rnacentral:lncRNA from 1 species